GACUCGGAGCGUCGUCAAGCAGCGGUGUUGGUAGCGUGCUAACAUGCUAACCUGGGAAUAUUCACGGUUAAAAACGGAAAACAAAACAACGGGAACGGUCAAAAAGACUACACUGUGAGUGAGGACAAACAGCAGAGGCUAAUGGAAAAUUGAGGUGAAAGUUUUUAACUUUUUAAAACAGUCUCUGGCCUCUGCUUGCUGGCCUGCUAACGGCUGACCGAGCCGCUAGCAGUUUAAAAAGUUUCUGGAGCCAGCGGGUGGAGGUGAGACUCCCCAGGAAUUAGACGAAUCCAUGACAGUGGAGGGCGUGAAGCACUCCCCGAUCCUGUCUGCUCUGUUCAGGAUGACAGAAGACUGUGAGCAGCUGGGAGCGGCAGAGUUUAUUAAAGAACGCCUAUACUUUGCCACGUUACGCAGUAAACCCAAAAGCACCGCCAAUACUCACUACUUCUGCACAGAUGAUGAGUUUGUCUACGAAAAUUUCUAUGCAGACUUUGGUCCUCUGAACCUGGCUAUGCUGUACCGAUACUGCUGCAAGCUCAACAAGAAGCUGAAGUCGUUCACUCUGACCAGAAAACGAAUUGUUCACUACACCAGCUUCGAUCAGAGGAAGAGAUCCAACGCUGCUGUUCUGAUUGGAGCUUAUGCUGUUAUCUACCUGAAGAAAACUCCAGAAGAGGCAUACAGAGCUCUGAUCUCAGGUUCAAACGCCUCCUAUCUGCCCUUCAGGGAUGCUUCCUUUGGAAAUUGCACAUAUAACCUCACAGUGCUGGACUGUCUGCAAGGCAUCAGGAAGGCUCUACAGCAUGGGUUCUUUGACUUUGAGACCUUUGAUGUAGAUGAGUAUGAACACUAUGAGCGGGUGGAGAAUGGAGACUUGAACUGGAUCGUCCCAGGGAAAUUUCUUGCCUUCAGUGGACCUCAUCCUAAAACUAAAAUAGAGAAUGGUUACCCUCUGCAUGCCCCUGAGGCUUAUUUCCCGUACUUCAGGAAGCAGAACGUGACCACCAUCAUCCGUCUGAACAAGAAGAUCUACGAUGCCAAACGCUUCACUGACGCUGGCUUCGACCAUUAUGACCUCUUCUUUAUUGAUGGCAGCACGCCCAAUGACAUCAUCACACGUCGCUUCCUACACAUCUGUGAGAGCACUGAGGGUGCUGUAGCCGUUCACUGCAAAGCUGGUCUGGGCAGAACAGGCUCUCUGAUUGGCUGUUACCUGAUGAAACAUUACCGCUUCACGGCAGCCGAGGCCAUUGCCUGGAUCAGGAUUUGCAGACCGGGUUCUGUGAUUGGACCACAACAGCACUUCCUGGAAGACAAACAGGCUGCACUGUGGAUGCUAGGCGACAGUCAGCGUUCCCAGAAGGCUAAGCUGGAGGAGAAGGUGGUGCCUCACCUCAUCACCAGUAUGGAUGAACUCACACUAAAGCCCAACCACAACAGCAAUGUAAAAUCUCCAAGCUCUGAUUAUCUCCAGGAGAGUGAACUAACAGACAGCGGGCCAGUUCUGACUCAAGGAGACAAACUGAGAGCCUUGAAGAGCCGACGUCCCCCCCGCCCUGCCACCACUGGAGCUCUGAGAGGGGAGGAGAUGAAGAUGCACAGCAGAUCAAUGUCACAGCCACUCAGACUGUCGAUGGGGGUCGGUCAGGGCCACGCCUCACCUCUGAAGUCAUCCAAGUUCCCAGCAUCCUCUGCCUCUGCAGCAGCCAAAAGAAUCGGGAGGAGUCCAUCAUCAUCGGCCUCUAACAUCAGGAGCUCAGCUCUCGGCUCUCGAUUGGCCAGCUCUCUCAGUGAUCUGUACGCUGGCGAUAUCGAAGAGGACAGGAAUACUCCGUACUCCCCUCUUCCUCCCUCCUCCCCUUCCUCCUCUGUGUCUCUAAGCUCCUCCCCCUCCUCUCUGGCCCAACCAUCCUUGUCCCGCUAUGGUAAUGGCCCUCGCACUGUGCAGCACGAGGUCAACAACAACAGCGGUCCAUUUGGUGGCUCUGGGAUGCCCCCCACAGGGAAAAACUUCAUUCGGACGGGGCCUCAGGACUUCAGCCCCUACAGGGGGCCUGGGCCCUACAGCGCAAUGAAAGGCCCCUCAGGACGCUACCUGAGCCGCUCCAUACCUGACAACAACAGGACGGAGUCGAUUUUCACGCAAAGUUUUUAGUGUUAAAGAUUCGUCUGGCACAUGCACGUGUCUGCUGCAAUUAUAGAGCCCCUUCACACAUUUAUGAAGUCUCUUCAGUCUGAGUACAUCCAGUACUAAAACUACAGGUCUGGCCUGAGGACACGUUACUCUUCUCAUUAUCCAGAACUGUUCCUGUCGGAUGCUCAAAGUGAGACUAAUGUAUCAGCUGGAGUUUCUCUGUCAGGAGAAAAGAGACUCUGAGAUGGUAACAGCUGCUUUCUGUUCAUACUGUAUGUAAAUGAGCUGCUUGUAAAUAUGAUGUAAGCUGCACGCGUGUUCGGCUGAAGAUAUAUUGACAUGAAAUAGACAUAUUUUAUAUUUCUUAUUUGUGACAGAGACAUAUUUUUGUUUUAACAAUAUUAAUAUCUUAAUAUUUUUGUUUGUUUUUUUUUGAUAAAGGGGGAAUCAUCUGACAACAAAUUUCUGCCCCAUUUUAGAUGAUUUCUUCAGCUGAUUUUUUGGUGAUGUGACUGAUCUGUGUUGUUUUUCUAGUUAAAAGCAAUAAUAAUAGAAGAAGAAGGGACCCAAAAACAGAAUGUCAGCAACUAAUCUCAGGGGGUUAAAGUGCAUAUGUGCGUGAAUAUGAGUGAGUGUGUGUCCACUUGGCCUUAAAGAAGCAUUUAAACAUUACUUGUUAUAAAGUCAUGAUAGCAAAGAUGAAAAAAACUGCCUUGUCUCUCUGGAUUGAUACCAUAGACUGCAUGUAAAGGUGGAAGACCUGUCACCACUUCCUCCCACUGUCCAUAAGUGAAAGCCACCAUAUUGCAGUAAAAUAUGGGUGCUGCUAUCUUACACUGAGAACACCAUGUACACCUAGAGUCUGUGCGGUAGAAACUGUAGGGUGGAGACGAGGAGGUCCUGCCUCCUUCCAGCACAAACCCCUUGAGCUUGAUGCUGCCCAGAUGCCACCAGCUUAUCUUGGACUGUUGGGGACACUGGCUAUGCACUUACUAGUUUCUUGAUGAAGAUGAUCAGUAAAGGCUUGCUGUCUCGCUAAGUAUUAACUGUUUUUCCCCAUAGAUUGCUCCUACUUUAGCCUGGAAUUAAUGAUUGCUCAGGCAGCGGCCCCUUCAGUACUCUGUCUUCAGCCCUGGAUUCCUACCCAACAGGCUAGUAGCAAAUGAUGUCAUUCGCAUAAGAUGUCAGUGCUGAUAUCUACCAUAUUUCAUCAUUUGUGAAGCUGUGAUGUCCAUUUGUGUGUGCAGUCUCUCAGUACACGUGGAGGUGAAGCCAUUUGUUGUCUCACAAAUUAGUCAACAGAAAAUUAACUAUUUAUAAUAGGACGUAAUUUUGUAUGUACUGAUUCCCUAAAUUCACUGGUUCACACUCCUUUAAUGUGAAUAGUUGGACUUUGGGACACCUAACUGUACUUCUUUUCCCCCCAGUUAAAGCAAAAAUCAUUAGAUUAAUCAGUGAUAAAAAUUCUAAUUAGUUGCAGCCGAGUCUUGCUGAGCUUUGCUGCACAGAUCACACUGUGCUGCAUAAACCUACACAGAGGGGAGAGUUUCUGAAUCUGUUACUGAGAUACAGAUCCUGAAACAGUUGGUGGAAGAGCACCUUAAACAAUACAAACUGUACAGGUUAAGUAGCACCCCCCUUGAAAAUGGUGGUAUUGCAGUGUUUGUUGUUGGUUUACCUUGUCACCCUGCUGCACUGAUGGACGGGUGUACUCCAGGACAGUGACAUCACUGCUGGGUGUGGUUACAGGUGAUGCAGCUGGAAAGCGCAGAUGCUUUGCUUUUCAGCCUGUUGUUGAGUUACUCUUUCAACCUUAACGAUAGAUGCCCUUUGAGGGAUGUAUAAUAUCAGUUAAGUAUAAAGCUUCUACCUCGUCUGAUGACAUCUUCACAAUGUUUCCUUUAUUUUACAGUCAUAUUGUCUGGAAAAAAUGAGUUUACAUGUUACAAACAUGUCAGACACUCCAGAGCCUUUAAGACAUUCACAAGGAAACAGCAGAAAACACUUAUUUUCCCUUAAGGGAAAUAUUUUGAACAGAUCUUUGAGUGUUGAUUCUCAUCACAUGCGUUAUUUUAGUAUACAGGCUCCAAAGUGCCCUAGACAUUUUACAGCUGCUCAUGUUUGAAUGUUUGAAUGAUUUGAUCAAAUCUCUGAUGUGUCACACAUCAGGAAGUUUAUUUUCAGCUCAUAGCCCCAAAAGCUUUUAUUUUGGUAUUAACUUGUCCAUAUUAUGAAGAUGUUUAAAUGAAGUUGUUGUUUCACUCAUGAAUGUCCUGAACCUGUAUUUAAUGUAAUGUCAAAGUCUUUUAUUGAGAGAAAGUUGAAAAAUAAUGUAGAUAUUUUUUCUUUUAACUGACAGCAGAUUUUCUGUCUGAGCAAUAACAGGAAAUAAAGUAUGUAUUCUUCA